CAGCUAGAUCAGAGCCUGGAGCCUGCUUCAGAUUCUGUGUCUCCUUCUCUCUCUGCCCCUCCCCCUCUCAUGCUCUGUCACUCUCUGUAUCAAAAAUAAAUAAAACAUUAAAAAAAAAGUUUAAAAAAAAAUAGCCCCAGCCUUCUCCCUGACAGUUUGCCUAGGUUACCACUAAAAAUGCAAAAUAAGCAAAAUCACCUUGGUCUCUUCUUCAAGAUCCCUUUUUAAAACUUCCACCCACUUAGUUCACUGAGAUCUAUUGAGAACUGCCCAAAGAAGGAAGAAUGGGAUAAACAGUCCUACCCCAUUCCCAGAAGCCAAUUUCAUUUUACUGGCUUUGUCAGAAGCCCAAGCCUAGUCUAGCCAAAAACCCAGCAAAGAGAGUCUAGACACAGACUAACUCCAUGCUCUGAUCUUAAACUUCUGUGGGUGAAGGCAAGUCAAUGCUGGCAGGAGGUUGGAUGUGGAAAGAUUAAACUUUCCCCAUCCUUAAGAAAGGAUGGUAAGAAAUGGGAGGUUGGGAAAGAGCCCCUAUUUAUAUCUCUUCUCUGAGGUUUUAUAUCCAAUCUCCAACUACAGGAGAAAGGAAUCCUGAGUCACUGCAUUUUUCACCACAAUAUCCUCUUCUGAGUAACAAAGAACUGUCAGUCACCUCUGCUGUGGGCAAACCCCUGAGAACCUAUUACUGUUUUCAGGAACCCAAGCUCACUUUCCCCAGAUGAAGCAACGGGGUUCUGCCCAAAACAAAACAAACAAGCAAACAGUCUAACACUUGCACAUGCGUGUGGGAGGGAGAGGAUGAGGAGGGGAGAGCACAUUCAAGGGUACACGGCUAUCAGGUAACUUUAAGGAUCUACUAACACUGGCCACAGUAACGGGGAACUACAUCUGUUUCUGCUCGAGAAAAAUGCUUCAAUAAUAUCCUGUCUCGGGAGUGUUGCAUGAAUUCCUGGCGUGAGGCCUUCAGAUGUUUCAAGGGUGCCAGUCUCUUCUGAGACGUACGGGCCCAGCAAGCAGGACACAUCACAGGCAACAGCAGAGCCCGCCUGAGAAGCCGUCCAGUUCUCACUACAGUUGCUACAUUUUCUACUGUUGUUAUGCCAGUACCUUCACAGAGACUCAAGUGUCCCCAAGCCCUGACAGAAGUACAGGUGGCCUUUCGGCGCCGAAGCGACCCAGCUCAGCACCACUGGAGGUCUACCAGCAGAGUGGAGACUUCCACACUCAGGUAACUUUCCAAUUCGGCGGCCCCACAGCCAAACCCUGUGGGAGAGUCAGACCUCCACUAAUAUUUGGAGUCCCUAAAUGCCUGGAGUGAAAAAGAAAGUCUACAUACAUAAACAGGAAGUGGUUUCGGUGAGUCUCAGCCCGGAUAAUAAGUAAAGUUUUUGAGAUUAAAGACCAGACGAGGCGCGGAGGCUCCAGAAAGCUCCGAUGCUCCCACACACGGGCUCCAAGAUUUCCUCAGGAAAUCCACCGUCGCCAAGCCAACCCUGCCCGGCGCAGGACCGGCGGCUUGGGUCGGCCCGAGGGAGAAAUAAUAGCAAUAAGAAAGGGGGCCUCCGCCUACCUUCUCUCCCGCCACCCGCCAAGUGUGGUCUCCGCCCUGACUCCCGGGCAGGGAGCGCGACCCCCACGCCCGGCGAGGCCAGCCGGCGCGCCCCGGUCCCGGCCACCAGGUCGCGGCCGGAGACCCGCAGUCCGGUCUUCCUGCGGGCCUCGGCGCA
ensembl:lncRNA